GUUAGAAUAUAAAAUAAAAUUUUUUAGAGUGGUGAAUAAAUAUUUUGUCUGAUAGAAUUAUUCUUUUUGUGUCGUUCUUGUAAUUUCUUAGAUCGCCCGGGUCCAUUUAGUGUUCCUCCAGGACAGAAUCAAAGCUAGAACCUUGCUCUCCAUCACUGUAUUAGGAAGUUGCCGAUCCAACGGAAGCUCUACAAUCUUCUCCGUAGAGUUAUAAAUGUAAACUUUAUAUUUCUGUUAUUUAAAUUUGGAUGUAGUAAUUAUUCUAUUAUUUGAUUAUUAUUGAACUCCGCAGUUAUAGGAUUGUGUAUUUUAAUUAGGCUUGCCGUAUGCGUUCUUUUGGAAUGACAUGUUAUAUAUUAGACGUAGGCAUUUUAGUAUACCCAUAUUCUGAAUAUGACUUAUCAUGAUUAGGCCCAAAUUAAACUUCAAUUGAGAUAUUUAAAUUUUGGGCCAGAUUGUAUAAUAAUUAUAUUUAAACCCUACUGGUAUGGGCUUACUGUUAUUA